rnacentral:ncRNA from 1 species
UUCUGCAGCGUAGUAUCUAACGGUUUGAUAAACAGGCUAUUAUUCUGCAGGCGCACAUCGCCUUUCGCGGUGGUCAUCUCGCCGUCGAGGGGGAUAUUCAGAUGUAAGCGAGCGCUCACAUCCCCAUCCAGCUGCAGGGAAUCCAGCGCCGCCCCGAGCGACUCUUUCAGCGGCGUAGUAUUAAAGUAAGGUCCAACCUCUUUGCCCGGGCCUUUGAUAUCGGCAUCAAUCAGCAGUUUUUCCUGCGCAUAGUCCGGGAUUGCGGCAUCGAGAUUGCUGGCGGUCACGUUGCCAAGCAUCGCUUUAUCCGCCCGCAUCCACAGGCCGUUGUUGAUAAAAUUGAGGUCGAUGUUCAGCCCGGUUAGCGCCGGCCAGUCCGGUUGGAAGGCAAAAGUGGCGUUCUUCAGCGG